UACGGGGGGGGCAAGCGUUGUUCGGAAUUACUGGGCGUAAAGGGCGCGCAGGCGGCUCAUUUUGUCAGGCGUGAAAGCCCCGGGCUUAACCUGGGAACUGCGUUUGAUACGGAUGGGCUAGAGUUCGGGAGAGGAGAGUGGAAUUCCCAGUGUAGAGGUGAAAUUCGUAGAUAUUGGGAAGAACACCGGUGGCGAAGGCGGCUCUCUGGACCGAGACUGACGCUGAGGCGCGAAAGCGUGGGGAGCAAACAGG
rnacentral:rRNA from 1 species